rnacentral:rRNA from 1 species
UGACCGUGCUAAGGUAGCAUAAUCGUUAGUUUUUUAAUUGGAAUCUUGUAUGAAUGGUUGGAUAAAAGAAAUACUGUCUCUUAUAUUUUUAUUGAAUUUAACUUUUAAGUGAAAAGGCUUAAAUAUUUUAAAAAGACGAUAAGACCCUAUAAAGCUUUAUAAUUAAUUUUAUUUGAUUGAAUUGAUAUAUAAAAUUUUAAUAAAUUAUAUUAUUUUGUUGGGGAGACAAAAUUAUAAUUUUGAAUAACUGUUAAUAAUUGACACAAUUAUAUUUGGGUAAUUGUAAUGAUAGAUCCUUAGUAAAGAUUAAAAGUUCAAGUUACUUUAGGGAUAACAGCGUUAUUUUUCUUGAGAGUUCAUCUCGA